GAGUCGGGAAUGUUAGUCGCUUUGGUCGCCUGGGAACAGGAGCUUCCUCACUCCUGUGUUCCACGUCGGCAGGGAGUGUCCGUGGCAACGCACAAAGGAGGCCUCUCCACGCCUUCCUGACGACGGUCCUUGGGUUUGCAAGAGGGUGGCAGGAGCCGUGGCAGGUGUUCCUGUUCAGUCAUCACAAUCACAUCGCCAACAGUGGCUGCAGGAGUCUGGAGGAUGGAAAUAGAGGUUGCUUGGGGCGAUGGCUCAAGAUGCAGUGAGCAGAACCACGGGAAAGCUGGCUGAGUGGAAGUUCUACAACUAGAAGGAAAGAGAAAAGAGCAUUGAGACGUGCACAAGUGCUGAAAAGCUGAGGAUGACGCUCCAAUCAACGGAGCCACCUGGCCAGAGCAUCCAUUGAAUUUUUUUCAAGUGUUAUAGCCACAUACAGUCCACCAAACCACCGCUGACUUCCUGUCGCAAAUACCUGAAAACCCUCGGGUCUGGAAUGAUGGGCACAUUACAUCCAAUGGACAGACAUCAAAAUACACACAAGCCUUUGAAAACACCAGGGGCCCCCUGAGAAAGCACAGCAUCCUGACUGCCACAAUGUCAAGCUGCCCAUUAUCACGUGGUCGCUAUUUUACGAAGCAGGUAGCCCUGGACU